CAUGUGGAGGUCCAGAUGUUGUAAGCAUUUUCUUCUUUUUAGGUUUGGAAGAGGGGAGUAAAGACGAGAACAGUACUGAAUAAAAGCUGUUGUUGGACCUUUUCAGCAUUUUCCUUGACAAGAACUACAUCGACGAGGGAUGGACAGCAGGACACCAGAGUUCAUUGGAGCAGGCGGACAGCUUCCUGGAAUAGGAAUUCCUGAAUACAAUACCACCAUUUUUAACAACAGACCAUUUAAUUCGUUUAAGCACCAAGCCAAUCAACAUGGAGACUAAGAACGCCAUUUAAGAAAGACUAUACUGCCCUCUUACAUGCCCUCGCACAUUAAUGGAGGACGCAAAGGAGGAAGAGGAGCCAAUGAAAGAAGAA